AUACCUGGACGAAUAAAAGUGAAAUGCCAUUUUGAAACUAUUUUUCAAAUUUUCUCAGCUGGUUUGGUGUAGAAUCAAACAUGUCAGCCUUAUCUCACAGUAACAUCUCUGUUUUGUAGUUUUGAUGCUGGUUCAAAGGGCUCCGAUGGUGCUGAGUGGCUCCCUGGUCUUUUAAUGGAGGAGGGAAUCAAGUUAUUGCAGGAAUCCGCAAAACGUCCCGAGUGCAUUAUGAACAUUAGAGGGUUCAGAUGCAGUAAAUCCUCUGACCGCUGCACUCGUCACACCAAGCAGAUCGAGGAGCUCAGCUGCAACCAGAGAGUGACCAUUGAGUUCUGUGGAGACAAAUGUACAGAAGACAUCAAGUCUAAACUUGAACUACCUGAGGUUAACUGAAGCUGCUGAGCUGCUCUGUUUUUCUGAGUCUUUUGGUGCAACUGCAAAGACGACAUGUAAUAACUGGAGGAUGUAUGAAGAGGAAAAGAAUGAACUUCAGUUGUUUUAACUAUUUACUAUUAGUUAAUCCUACCUGAAUUAUUUGUAAUUUUUUCACAUUUUAUUAAAAUGUCUAUCUCACUCUGGUAUAGCCCUAGGCCAAUUUGAUUCCAGAUCUAUUUAUUCUUAAGGGGGAAAAAAGCUUUAUUAGUAUAAUUGUGUUUGUUUGGUUUUAAACAAAUAAACUUUGUCAUGAUCAC